rnacentral:rRNA from 1 species
GAUGAACGCUGGCGGCGUGCCUAAUACAUGCAAGUCGAGCGAACAGACGAGGAGCUUGCUCCUCUGACGUUAGCGGCGGACGGGUGAGUAACACGUGGAUAACCUACCUAUAAGACUGGGAUAACUUCGGGAAACCGGAGCUAAUACCGGAUAACAUGUUGAACCGCAUGGUUCAACAGUGAAAGACGGUCUUGCUGUCACUUAUAGAUGGAUCCGCGCCGCAUUAGCUAGUUGGUAAGGUAACGGCUUACCAAGGCAACGAUGCGUAGCCGACCUGAGAGGGUGAUCGGCCACACUGGAACUGAGACACGGUCCAGACUCCUACGGGAGGCAGCAGUAGGGAAUCUUCCGCAAUGGGCGAAAGCCUGACGGAGCAACGCCGCGUGAGUGAAGAGGGUCUUCGGAUCGUAAAACUCUGUUAUUAGGGAAGAACAAAUGUGUAAGUAACUAUGCACGUCUUGACGGUACCUAAUCAGAAAGCCACGGCUAACUACGUG